CGUUGUGGGCCACAGCGUCCAGCCUCUGCCGGGCCACCUGGGGCUGGGACACCAGGGCCUCAGCAGAACAGGAGCGCAGCAACCUCAUCCUGUUUGUCUUUGGCCGCCCUCCUCCUCCUUCUCCAAGGGGCAUGCGCCUUUCUCGCUAUUUUUAGGUGCAUCUGCUCGAGCUGCUUGCUUUUGGGCAGAAGGUACCAGCCAGCGCUGCAGUCAUCUGACGGCUAUUUUGGUCCCGGGUGCCUGUUUGGCUCUGGUUGUGGGGCUGUCGGGAGGUGGCCACCCUGUCCCUUGUGCUUAGCUGGUGAAAGCAGAGCUGCCUGAGGGCUGGGCUGGGGGGUCUGCUGCACCCAGGGUGGAACAUGUCUGGGCCCCUCCGCAGAGAAUGAAGUCAGGCCCUGGGCACAAACUUCAUCAGGGGCCCCGGGGCUGGACUCCCACCCUUGACUUGUCUGGGCCCUGGGGAUGUGGUACCAGGAAUGGGGAUGGCCCUACUGACAAGUGUUUCUUCCAUUUGCUUCCUCCCUCCUCUUCCUCUGUCUUCCUUGAGGACCUGGGCAGGCUCUGGCUUCCCCACCUUCCACGGGAGGAACCAUGGCUGGAGUGAGCUGGGAGGACAUGUGACAUGGCCUGGUGGGCUGGGAAGGGCCGAGCUCAGAGCUGCCACCAGCCCAAGGGUCUGCCUGUCUUUGAGUCCAUCUCCUUAUCUACACUCAAGACCUGGCGGCAGGAGCAGAAACUCCAGUGAGAGUCGUGCACUCAUACCGCCGUAUCGGGAAGAAAGAAGCUUUGUCACCAGAGGCAGGCCUGGAGCUCUUUGCUGACAGACUCCUCGGUGCAGAGCUCUCCUUGGCAUGACGUCACCUCCUGCCGGGAGGGCACCGUCCCAUUGGCCACGCCCCUGCCACAACCGGGGUCCCACCUCACAACCUGUGGCCUCAGCCGCUCACUAGCAGUGCGCCCAGUUAAAAAGGAAACGGAAUCGAGGUUCCAGCUCUACUCAGAGGUACCAGUGCCAGAACACACCUUGGAGGGGCUGCGUGGGACCCUCACCUACCAGGCUAUGUUGCCAGGAAGGUUGCUGAGAUGCCCCCACAUGCCUGGGCCCCUGCACACUGGGGCAGUCCAUGUGCUUCCACUCUGGCAGGGCUGCAUUGCUCUUUAUUAGUGUGUAGUACAUUUUAAUAAAUGUUUUACCCCAAUUUCUGUACCAAAUUACAGAUUUUUAUUUUUAUGUCAGUGUUUAAGGGGAGCAAUAAAUCUAUUAAAGUUAUUACUUCGGUUAUUUGGCAAUUUUCAUAUAUAUAUAUUAGCUUAGGUAUAUUAUAUUUGCUGUAUUAAAUUAGGUCUAAAAUAGUUUCUAUUGUGGUAUUAAUUUUGAGGUAUCUGUGUCUAACAUUUAAUGAGUAUUUGUUAAACACCUAGAAUAUGUCUAUGGUUAUAGAUUUACCAUCUAUGAAGGGUCUCUAAAGCAUUCAUGAAUUACUUACCACUACUUAGGAUACUUAAUGCUUUGUGUUAGGGAUGAAGAUUUGAAUAUCAGGCUGCAUACUGUUGCCCUAAGUGGAACUAUGCUUAAGGCAGUGGACCAUCAAAACUUUGCUAAUACUCCCAUUGUAAGUGAGCCAGGUGGGUAAUUGAACUGUCACUAUAAUUGAAGCUGAUGGCCAUCUUCUUGCUCUUGAUUCCCUGCACCAGUCCAUAAUACCUUCCCAUUUUUUUCUUUAAGCUUUAUUUAAUAGUAGGAAAUACUGGGAAUAUUUAAUUGAACCAUUCUAGGAGUGACCAAAGAUUGAAAAUAACACGUUAAAAGUAAAAUUCACGUGUCAUUUGGAUAAAUCAUCAACCUGAGUUUGUCAGUAGUAAAAAAAGCAGAUAGGGAAAUUGAGGUAAAAUAAAAGUAAAAGGUUGCUUAUCAUUACACAAUAAAUACUAUAAUUUCCAUUAUAACCAGGCUGUUUCUAUCUUGCAAUCUAAUAUGUUUUCAAAAUAAUAUAACCAUUAGAUUUUUUCACUUUUGUUAGGAUUUCUACAUUAAUCCUUCCUUUCAAACUCUAUCAUUAGAUAUAUUUUAAAGCUUGACAUCAGCAAAGAGAGAUUUGGAGAUUACCAUGUUAUCCUCUUCUGAUUUUUUGGUCUCAAUUUGAGGUUUGCAAAGUGUUUCUUCCAUUUGAAAAUAUCUUUAAGCAUCAUCUUAAACUCUUGUUCUUUACUCCUGAUUCUUCUUCCUAGCAGUACAUCCUAAUUAAUUUCUUAAGAAACUUGGGUGUAAAUGUACAGAAGCUGGUUAAUAUACUCUGGCUAUGUGCUAUGUGGUUGACGCAUAUAUGUGCCCCUUUUGGUUGGUGAAAUUGCAUUAAUGAUCCUUUUAGCUUUCAUUGAUAUAUUCUGAUAUUCAUUUGAUUAGAAAAUAUUCCUUGGCUAAUUAUACUGCUCAGAAAGAAAUGUAUGAACUCCAGAAUUUCUAUGGGAUGGAUUCUUAUUUUUCCAUGUUUUCUAGUUUCUUAUUAUAGUUCAUAAAAUAGACUUCCUUCACAAUGAGAGUUUUUACACUUAGAACAAAGCAACUUCAGAUGUGACUGCCUUUAGAUAAUUUUAAAGGAGUGAGACAUUUCAAAGAAAUUCUUAGAGUUUUAGGCAUGCAUGUGCCAUCUUCAACUUUUAGAUCACUUUUAAAAUUUUUACUUACAGAUGUUUUGAAUUCUGAAAUGUCAUGAACCAGAACCUGACUUUGGUUCCAGGAGAAAGACCAGAGUAGCACAGGCCAAUAAAACGCUCCAUAGUGAUAGAGAUAUUCUGUGUUUGCAUGUCUUUUGAACACUUGAAAUGUGGCUAGUACAACUGAGGAACUGAAUUUUCAAUUUUGCUUCAUUUAAAUAAGUUUGCAUUUAUGGGGUAUUGGGGAGACUCGAUAGUAUGGGUGUAGUAACCACAUUGUUUUUCAUGUGAAACCUUCAUAAAUGGAGUCUAUAUCAAUAAUACCUUAAUAAAAAUAUUGUAUAAAAAAUAAGUUUGCAUUUAAAUAGUAACAUGUAGCUGCCCUUUUAGACAAAAAACAGGUAUAGAGGCCUGAUUCUUUUUAAUGCAAAUUAGAUUUACUGUCUUGGGAAAUAGAUGUUAUGUGCUCUUCUACCUUAAAUAAUUAGGGAUAAUGAAUUAAAGCAAACUUUUCUUACAGGGUAGGUAAGAGAACAAAACUUAAAUCAAUUGUACUGUCUUUCACUUAGAUAAAUACAGUUCUAAAUAAAUAUGACUUUCAUACCUUAUCAUAGAGGUUGAAAUAACUUGAAUUUUCUCAUAGGUGACUUUAUAUGUUUGUUCAUAAUUUGAUGAAGAAGAUCUGAAUUUUGUUGCUUUUCAGGCUGUGUGCAUGAUUGCACAAUUGUGUUUAUAAAAAUAAAAUGUGCCAUUUUUCUGAUUAUAAAAGUACAUGUUGAGAGUAUAAAAUUUCAGAAAUAUAAAAGGUGUAAAAGUAACUAUAGUCACUUGUUAAAGGAUACACAAAAU